rnacentral:rRNA from 1 species
UACGGGGGGGGCAAGCGUUGUUCGGAAUUACUGGGCGUAAAGGGCGCGUAGGCGGGUGGACAAGUCUCUCGUGAAAGGACACGGCUGAACCGUGGAAUUGCGGGAGAUACUGUCUGUCUUGAGUCCGGGAGAGGAGGGUGGAAUUCCCAGUGUAGCGGUGAAAUGCGUAGAUAUUUGGAGGAACACCGGUGGCGAAGGCGGCUCUCUGGACCGGUACUGACGCUGAGGCGCGAAAGCUAGGGGAGCAAACGGG